UACAGAGGUGGCAAGCGUUGUUCGGAAUUACUGGGCGUAAAGGGCGCGUAGGCGGCCUUCUAAGUCAGACGUGAAAUCCCCCGGCUUAACCUGGGAACGGCGUCUGAUACUGGAGGGCUUGAGUAUGGGAGAGGGAUGUAGAAUUCCAGGUGUAGCGGUGAAAUGCGUAGAUAUCUGGAGGAAUACCGGUGGCGAAGGCGGCAUCCUGGACCAUUACUGACGCUGAGGCGCGAAAGCUAGGGGAGCAAACGGG
rnacentral:rRNA from 1 species